UACAGAGGCCUCGAGCGUUAGGCGGAAUCACUGGGCUUAAAGCGUGUGUAGGUGGAUGCCUAAGUACCUUGUGAAAUCCCACAGCUUAACUGUGGAAUUGCUUGGUAUACUGGGUGUCUUGAGCCACUCGAGGGGCUACCGGAACAAGCGGUGGAGCGGUGAAAUGCGUAGAUAUCGCUUGGAACGCCAAUGGUGAAAACAGGUAGCUGGGGGGUGUGCUGACACUGAGACACGAAAGCCAGGGGAGGCAAACGGG
rnacentral:rRNA from 1 species